rnacentral:rRNA from 1 species
CGUACACACGUGUUACAAUGGGGGGUACAGAGGGCCGCUACCACGCGAGUGGAUGCCAAUCCCUAAAACCCCUCUCAGUUCGGACUGGAGUCUGCAACCCGACUCCACGAAGCUGGAUUCGCUAGUAAUCGCGCAUCAGCCACGGCGCGGUGAAUACGUUCCCGGGCCUUGUACACACCGCCCGUCAAGCCAUGGGAGCCGGGGGUACCUGAAGUGCGUAACCGCGAGGAUCGCCCUAGGGUAAAACUGGUGACUGGGGCUAAGUCGUAACAAGGUACC